rnacentral:misc_RNA from 1 species
GAAAUGCGAUAAGUAAUGUGAAUUGCAGAAUUCAGCGAAUCAUCGAAUCUUUGAACGCACAUUGCGCCUCCGGGUAUUCCUGGAGGCAUGCUUGUUCGAGCGUCGUUAAAGACCAUGAGGCUUUGCCUUGCGAUGAGCGUCCGAUUGAGCGAUCGAUCGGUAGCUUCAAACUGAUUGGCGUCUGAAGUUUAGCCCAAGCACAGCAAAAUGUGUCUGCAAGCGGAGCGAAGGACUGCCUAUUCCCAUACAUAUAUAAAGGUCGACCUCGGAUCAAGCAAGAUUACCCGCUGAACUUAA